UACAGGGGGUGCAAGCGUUGUUCGGAAUUACUGGGCGUAAAGGGCGUGUAGGCGGCCAACUAAGUCCGACGUGAAAUCCCCAGGCUUAACCUGGGAACUGCGUCGGAUACUGGAUGGCUUGAAUCCGGGAGAGGGAUGCGGAAUUCCAGGUGUAGCGGUGAAAUGCGCAGAUAUCAGGAGGAACACCGGUGGCGAAGGCGGGUCUCUGGGCCGAUACUGACGCUGAGGAGCGAAAGCGUGGGGAGCGAACAGG
rnacentral:rRNA from 1 species